AGCGAGGCUAGAGUCACGCCUUUACAACCCCAUUGUCCUGGUGUGCUAGAGUGCUCACAGUAAACCUCUUUGGCUAUUCAUUGGCUGUAGUCCCCUCUGACCCAGCCAAUCACCAGCUCAGAUACAGAA
rnacentral:snoRNA from 1 species